UACGAAGGGGGCUAGCGUUGUUCGGAAUUACUGGGCGUAAAGCGUGCGCAGGCGGCUAUUUAAGCUUGCUGUGAAAGCCCCGGGCUUAACCUGGGAACUGCAGUGAGGACUGGAUGGCUGGAGUGUGGCAGAGGGGGGUGGAAUUCCACGUGUAGCAGUGAAAUGCGUAGAGAUGUGGAGGAACACCGAUGGCGAAGGCAGCCCCCUGGGCUAACACUGACGCUCAGGCACGAAAGCGUGGGGAGCAAACAGG
rnacentral:rRNA from 1 species